rnacentral:lncRNA from 1 species
UGAGAACAUUUUAAAAGAAUGCGUGCUGACCUGAAGAACCUUUGCACAAGUGUAAGAAAAUUCCAAGUCACUAGCAUCAUGGUUCAGAAUUCUUUCACUCCUAAGCAAGGAUCUGGUGCUAGGUACUCAGGAAAACUAUCACAUGGUCAAGUUACUGCGUAGACAAGUGACUUUUUAAUAUUUUAUAGUGAUUCGACUCUGGAGCAUGUGAAGCUUUAGACCUGUUGCACUGACAUCACAAUGGCACUCUGAAGUUCCAGAACUUCGAUAUCUCAUCCAUGCCAAGCUCACUCUUGCGAAUCCGACAUGUUGCAGUUAUAUCCACCUGCGAUCCAUCUCGUUCUCGGCAACCAGCACUUUGUCUAAAACUCCGAAUGCUUUACAAGGUUUCUCUGAAUUGCCACAAUCAUCUAUUGGAUCUACAAAACUGAAUAAUCUGAUCUAGAGAGAGUUGAUCUCGUUCUCUCAUGAGCAUACAGUUAUUACUAAAGCAGCGCCGAACAAGUCGCAUGAGUCUCCAGUUUUCCAUAAGACAGGAUGAUUGAGCACACCAGGAGGGAGCAGAAUUCACAUUCUGUAUAAAUUUUU